rnacentral:rRNA from 1 species
UUGCCCAUUUGAGGGGGAUACCAGUUGGAAACGACUGUUAAUACCGCAUAAUAUCUGUGGAUUAAAGGUGGCUUUCGGGCUGUCGCAGAUGGAUGAGCCUGCGUUGGAUUAGCUAGUUGGUGGGGUAAGGGCCCACCAAGGCUACGAUCCAUAGCUGAUUUGAGAGGAUGAUCAGCCACAUUGGGACUGAGACACGGCCCAAACUCCUACGGGAGGCAGCAGUGGGGAAUAUUGGACAAUGGGGGCAACCCUGAUCCAGCAAUGCCAUGUGUGUGAAGAAGGCCCUAGGGUUGUAAAGCACUUUAGUUGGGGAGGAAAGCCUCAAGGUUAAUAGCCUUGGGGAGGACGUUACCCAAAGAAUAAGCACCGGCUAACUCCGUGCCAGCAGCCGCGGUAAUACGGGGGGUGCAAGCGUUAAUCGGAAUUACUGGGCGUAAAGGGUCUGUAGGUGGUUUGUUAAGUCAGAUGUGAAAGCCCAGGGCUCAACCUUGGAACUGCAUUUGAUACUGGCAAACUAGAGUACGGUAGAGGAAUGGGGAAUUUCUGGUGUAGCGGUGAAAUGCGUAGAGAUCAGAAGGAACACCAAUGGCGAAGGCAACAUUCUGGACCGAUACUGACACUGAGGGACGAAAGCGUGGGGAUCAAACAGGAUUAGAUACCCUGGUAGUCCACGCUAUAAACGAUGAGUACUAGCUGUUGGAGUCGGUGUAAAGGCUCUAGUGGCGCAGCUAACGCGAUAAGUACUCCGCCUGGGGACUACGGCCGCAAGGCUAAAACUCAAAGGAAUUGACGGGGACCCGCACAAGCGGUGGAGCAUGUGGUUUAAUUCGAUGCAACGCGAAGAACCUUACCUGGUCUUGACAUCCUGCGAACUUUCUAGAGAUAGAUUGGUGCCUUCGGGAACGCAGUGACAGGUGCUGCACGGCUGUCGUCAGCUCGUGUUGUGAAAUGUUGGGUUAAGUCCCGCAACGAGCGCAACCCCUAUUGAUAGUUACCAUCAUUAAGUUGGGUACUCUAUUGAGACUGCCGCUGACAAGGCGGAGGAAGGUGGGGACGACGUCAAGUCAUCAUGGCCCUUACGACCAGGGCUACACACGUGCUACAAUGGGUAUUACAGAGGGCUGCGAAGGUGCGAGCUGGAGCGAAACUCAAA